rnacentral:tRNA from 1 species
GCGCGUCGGCGUCGGCGCGCGUCUUGUCGAACAAGGCGGCGGGCGAGACCAGCGCGCCGUUCGAAUCGACGACGCGCA